rfam:[Bacillus] aminovorans strain DSM 1314 DSM1314_contig_15, whole genome shotgun sequence.
AAUCACCGCUGGGGGUGCUCAUAAUGGAGCUGAGAGAGGCGAAUUGCUUUAACCCUUAUAACCUGAACCGGAUAAUGCCGGCGUAGGGAAGAGGUGUCUUGAACCG